GUUCAGAAGGAUUUUCAAAGGACUUCCUCCGCUUUAACAUGGAGGUACCUGCUGCCUACAAAAGUAAGUGCUUCCAUGUUUCAGUGGUGGUGGAUCCUAAUGUCUGAAACAUUUUUC
rnacentral:pre_miRNA from 7 species